rnacentral:tRNA from 9 species
GCGGGUGUAGUUCAAUGGUAGAACUCCAGCCUUCCAAGCUGGUCACGUGGGUUCGAUUCCCAUCACCCGCUCCA